GUGAACGCUGGCGGUAGGCCUAACACAUGCCAGUCGAACGGCAGCACAGUAAGAGCUUGCUCUUACGGGUGGCGAGUGGCGGACGGGUGAGGAAUACAUCGGAAUCUACUUUUUCGUGGGGGAUAACGUAGGGAAACUUACGCUAAUACCGCAUACGACCUACGGGUGAAAGCAGGGGAUCUUCGGACCUUGCGCGAUUGAAUGAGCCGAUGUCGGAUUAGCUAGUUGGCGGGGUAAAGGCCCACCAAGGCGACGAUCCGUAGCUGGUCUGAGAGGAUGAUCAGCCACACUGGAACUGAGACACGGUCCAGACUCCUACGGGAGGCAGCAGUGGGGAAUAUUGGACAAUGGGCGCAAGCCUGAUCCAGCCAUACCGCGUGGGUGAAGAAGGCCUUCGGGUUGUAAAGCCCUUUUGUUGGGAAAGAAGAGCAGCAGGUUAAUACCCCGCUGUUCUGACGGUACCCAAAGAAUAAGCACCGACUAACUUCGUG
rnacentral:rRNA from 1 species